UACGGAGGGUGCAAGCGUUAUCCGGAUUUACUGGGUUUAAAGGGUGCGUAGGUGGGUUGGUAAGUCAGUGGUGAAAUCUUCGAGCUUAACUCGGAAACUGCCAUUGAUACUAUCAAUCUUGAAUAUCCUGGAGGUAAGCGGAAUAUGUCAUGUAGCGGUGAAAUGCUUAGAUAUGACAUAGAACACCCAUUGCGAAGGCAGCUUACUACAGGGACAUUGACACUGAGGCACGAAAGCGUGGGGAUCAAACAGG
rnacentral:rRNA from 1 species